rnacentral:lncRNA from 1 species
GAAGCUUUUAUUAUGAAGGAGCAUUACAGGAAACAGUCCAUUUUCAUCAGCAGUAACUGAACACGACUCUUGAUGAAACAGUAAAACACAGCAGAUGUUUGAAAGAGAAACUAAAGAGAUUCAGUUAGAAGCAACUAUAAAAUAGUUUAUCUGUCAGGUUUCCUGCACAGACGUGAGGCGAGAACUGAUUAAUAACACAAAACUAUCCGAGGGAGCGACGAGGGCUUGUCACGUCACAGCGAGACGUAACCCUAACCCUUUUUAAUAUUUACAAUAUCAGUGAUGUAACACUCAGAAUAAAUGAGCUGUUCUCAGAGGACAACAAGGUCAGAGAACACUGAUUGAAGCUAGAAAGGUGGCAGGGUCCGCCACGUAUACACAAAGUUAAGCACUAUAAACUGUGUUGUCCUUUUUGAUUAACGUUAACAUUUCUCGCCCCCCCAAAACUACGUAAUGCUCCUUUAAAAGAAUGAUAUUUGCAAAUGUUUCAAAUAAAAGUGACUUGUUCCUCUUAGAGGCACAUUAAUUGUUCCUUAUAUGGUCGUAUGUGGAGAAAAGUUAAUGAGAAUAAAACAGUUAGAGACAGUUUUACUGCUUUAGUAGUAGAGAGAGUUUGUUGAGUCUCCUUCCUCAAAACUACAUAAUGCUCCUUUAACUUUACCUACUUUUUUUUUUUUUUAAUUCCCAAACAAAUACAUUUAAUGACCCCAGAAUGAAAAUUCUUCGUAUUCUCCUGAAGUCCCAGCUCAUUUAUUUUUAAGUUUUAUUUUUUUUUUUUAUCUCUUCAGAGGCAUUGUUGUCGCGCGGAGUUCGGGUUCAGGUCGGAUCCAUUAUUUCCACGUCCCGGGCCAUCCCCGGUGAGGUCAUCGUUAAAAAGGUGGGCGUCAGUGGGCGGGGCCAGCGCAGCUCCGGACCCGAGCCUGCUGUUAACAUGAGAGGGAGUGAAAGUUUCCAGAGAACGAAGAAGAAGAAGGAGAAGAGGAGGAAGAAGAAGAAGAAGCAGCAGCAGCUGACUUUCACUCUCUGGUCCGUUCACACUGAGCUACACUUGUGUAACCACUGCCACGUUACAGCGAGCAGAGCAGGAACCCUGCAGCUGAAGGAUCAUCCGUCCUCUGCCAGAUGUGUUUUUUACACAACAGCACGAGAUUUUCAAACUUCUAACACCGCAUAAGUUGUGGAAACAGUAUGAACUCUUGUUCAUAUCUGUGUUUUGACUCAGAGUUAUGAUCUGUUACUUUUCCUUAAAGGCAGCAGUGGUGGGCUUCACGUGUAUCAGUGGGAGUCUGGCGUUACAUCACCCUGCAGGUGUCGGGUUCACCACACCUUUUCCUCCACUCAUUUUCUGAACUAAGCUCAAGGAAAUCUACUCCUGAUCACCUCCUGACACACAGUCAUCUGUGCAACUGUUUCAAAGAUUUAUCAACAGAAUGAAUCGACUCCUGGCCACCUACAGAAAUGUUUCCAUUCCCAUUUAAGACAUUUAAGAUUGAUCCUCUGUCCCUCUGCUGCACAGAAACUAAUUCCAGUUACACAACC